GCAGUCUGCAACUCGACUGCAUGAAGCUGGAAUCGCUAGUAAUCGCGAAUCAGAAUGUCGCGGUGAAUACGUUCCCGGGUCUUGUACACACCGCCCGUCACACCAUGGGAGUUGGUAACGCCCGAAGUCAGUGACCCAACCGCAAGGAGGGAGCUGCCGAAGGCGGGACCGGUAACUGGGGUGAAGUCGUAACAAGGUAAC
rnacentral:rRNA from 1 species